AAAAGAUGUAACAAAAGAAAAUAAAUAAAAUGACAAUAAUACAUAAAUAACAACAGACUACUAGCAGUUAACUGACAUGCCAGCUCCAGACCUCAAUUAAACGGAUUGAAAGAUUAUGUCUUCAUCAUAUGAAUAUCAGGUACAAUCCCUCCCGUAAGGGGUUUAGUAUCAUACUAUCAUAAAAUAUAUGAGAAGAACAUAACCCGUGUCAUGC
rnacentral:lncRNA from 1 species